rnacentral:rRNA from 1 species
AUUGAACGCUGGCGGCAGGCCUAACACAUGCAAGUCGAGCGGAGCGGCGGACGGGUGAGUAAUGUAUGGGGAUCUGCCCGAUAGAGGGGGAUAACUACUGGAAACGGGCGCUAAUACCGCAUACUAUCAGAUGAGCCUAGGUCGGAUUAGCUAGUUGGUGGGGUAAAGGCCUACCAAGGCGACGAUCAGUAGCGGGUCUGAGAGGACGAUCCGCCAAACUGGGACUUAGACACGGCCCAGACUCCUACGGGAGGCAGCAGUGGGGAAUUUUGGACAAUGGGGGCAACCCUGAUCCAGCCAUGCCGCGUGUAUGAAGAAGGCCUUCGGGUUGUAAAGUACUUUUGUUAGGGAAGCGGUACCUAAAGAAUAAGCACCGGCUAACUACGUGCCAGCAGCCGCGGUAAUAC